ensembl:misc_RNA Metazoa_SRP Metazoan signal recognition particle RNA
ACCAGGUGCGGUGGCACGUGCCUGUAGUCACAGCUACUCAGGAGGCUGAGGCAGGAGGAUUGCUUGAGUCCUCACUUGAGUUCCGGGCCUCGGUUUGCUAUGCUCAUCAGGUGUCCACACUAAGUUCGGCAUCCAUAUGAUGACCUCCCAGGGGCAGGGGGCCGCCUGGUUGCCUAUGGAAGGGUGAACUCGCCCAGGUGGGAAAUGGAGCAGCUCAAAACUCCCGUGCUGAUCAGUAGUAGGAUCGUGCCUGUGAAUAGCCACUGCACUCCAGCCUGGGCAGCAUAGCGAGACCCUGUCUCUU